rnacentral:tRNA from 1 species
ACUCAGAUAGCUUAAAUUUAAAGCAAAGUAUUGAAGAUACUGUGAUAAGAUUAUCUUUCUGAGUG